GACGAACGCUGGCGGCGUGCCUAAUACCUGCAAGUCGAACGCAGUUGCGAACGGGUGAGUACCGCGUAGGAAACUACCUAUCAGAGGGGGAUAACUAUUGGAAACGAAAGCUAAUACCGCAUACUAGUAGAUGGACCUGCGUUGUAGUAGCUAGUAGGUAGGGUAAUGGCCUACCUAGGCAACGAUACAUAGCCGACCUGGGAGGGUGGUCGGCCACACUGGGACUGAGACACGGCCCAGACUCCUACGGGAGGCAGCAGUAGGGAAUCUUCGGAAAUGGGGGGAACCCGGACCGAGCAACGCCGCGGGAGUGAAGAAGGUUCUCGGAUCGGAAAGCUCUGUUGUUAAGGAAGCGGUACUUAACCAGAAAGGGACGGCUAACUACGUGCCAGCAGCCGCGGUAAUAC
rnacentral:rRNA from 1 species